AUUGAACGCUGGCGGCAGGCCUAACACAUGCAAGUCGAGCGAGCGGCGGACGGGUGAGUAAUGUAUGGGGACUGCCCGAUAGAGGGGGAUAACUACUGGAAACGGUGGCUAAUACCGCAUACUAUCGGAUAACCCAUAUGGGAUUAGCUAGUAGGUGGGGUAAAGGCUCACCUAGGCGACGAUCGCUAGCUGGUCUGAGGGGAUGAUCAGCCACACUGGGACGGGGACACGGUCCAGACUCCUAGGGAGGCAGCAGUGGGGAAUAUUGCACAAUGGGCGCAAGCUUGAUGCAGCCAUGCCGCGUGUGUGAAGAAGGCCUGCGGGUUGUAAAGCAAUUUCAGCGAGGAGGCGUUACUCGCAGAAGAAGCACCGGCUAACUCCGUGCCGCAGCCGCGGUAAUAC
rnacentral:rRNA from 1 species